rnacentral:lncRNA from 1 species
GCCAUUUUCGAGUGAUGCCUGAUCUCAUCAAUCUAGCGGGAGAGACAGGAUAACCUGUCCGAGAGUAUAGCGCCACUAUGACUCCGCCGGAAAAAUUACUUUAAAAAUCGCCAAAAAUUACUUGGAGCAAAGGGCAGUCGGCGGAGCUUCGCCAAGGCUGGCGCAGUCGGUUUUGACCUGUAGCAGAGAACCAAUUCUGGAGAACAGCCUCACUUCUUUGAUUGAAUACUUACAUAAUGCAUUGGAACAUGACAUGAGAUUAAGCUGGGAGCAGAGGCUGGGAGAUCGAUGCUGCUUGUCAGCUGUUGUGCAGAAUAACAUCAAUAUGCAAUAAUGGUGGCCAAAGGAGCCUGCACCCAUCCGUUUUUACAAACCCAGGUUUAAUAAUGAUAGAAUGAAGACCACAAUAAAAGAGACCUCUACUUAGCUCAGCAAUUCUUACCUUUCUUACCUAUUUGAUGAAGAUGUCUUUUGAAAGGUGUACUGCAAGGAACAAAAUGUUUGUAAAUUCUCCUUUUACCAAGGUAAAGAUCAAAUUUUAUAAAUUUACUUGUUUGUUUAUACAAGGAAAAAUAACUUCAUAUAUUGAAUAUAUUCAAAAGUUUAAGCAUUUAGUUGUAUUGCCCUGUUAAGUUGGCAUAGCAAAUAAAUGCUUUUCUUUUCCUCAUUUUAUUCUUUGUGUUUCCUAACCUAUAGCACUGUGCUGGGCACAGAAUGGACUUCAGUUAAGUUUUUGAUGUAGAAAUGUUUUAUUAUUCUACUUAAAAUCUCCUUAAAAAUAAUUAUGCAUAUUACAUCAAUGUUAUAAUGUUUAAACAUAGAUUUUUUUACAUGCAUUCUUUUUUUCCUGAAAGAAAAUAUUUUUUAUAUUCUUUAGGCGCGAAUGUGUGUUUAAAAAAAAUAAAACCUUGGAGUAAAG